AGUAUCCCGCCUGGGGAGUAGGCCCGCAGGUAUGAAAAUCAAAGGAAUAGACGGGGGCCGGUCCAACGGGUGGAGUAUCUGGUUUAUUUAGAUGCAACGCGAAGAACAUCACCACGGCUUUACAUCCCGCGAAGCCACGUGAAACCGUGCGGUACCUUCGGGAGCGCGGAGACAACUGGUGCAUGGCUGUCGUCAGCUUGUUUCGUGAGAUGUUGGGUUAAGUCCCGCAACGAGCGCAACCCACGUCCCUAGUUGCCAGCAUUAAUUUGGGCACUUUGGGGAGACUGCCGGGGACAACUCGGAGGAAGGUGUGGAAGACGUCAAGUCAUCAUACGCCUUACGUUCCGGGGUACACACGUACUCCAAUGCUUCGGACAAAGGGCAGCCAACUAGCGAUAGUGAGCUAAUCCCAUAAAAUGAGGCACAGUUCAGAUUGCAGGCUGCAAAUCGCCGCCACGAAAGCGGAAUCAGUGUAUACCAGGUCAUCAUAGAUCAGGAAUACGUUUCCGGCCUUUCCCACCCCCCGCCCCUCCCGGGAAUGCCUCGACCGAAGUCGUUCC
rnacentral:rRNA from 1 species